GAUGAAGAACGUAGUGAAAUGCGAUACGUAAUGUGAAUUGCAGAAUUCAGUGAAUCAUCGAGUCUUUGAACGCACAUUGCGCCCCCUGGUAUUCCGGGGGGCAUGCCUGUCCGAGCGUCAUUGCUGCCCUCAAGCUCGGCUUGUGUGUUGGGCCUCCGUCCUCCUCCCGGGGGACGGGCCCGAAAGGCAGCGGCGGCACCGCGUCCGGUCCUCGAGCGUAUGGGGCUUCGUCACCCGCUCUUGUAGGCCCGGCCGGCGCUUGCCGACACAUCAAUCUUUUUUCCAGGUUGACCUCGGAUCAGGUAGGGAUACCCGCUGAACUUAAGCAUAUCAAUAAGCGGAGGA
rnacentral:misc_RNA from 1 species